rnacentral:rRNA from 1 species
UACGUAGGUGGCAAGCGUUGUCCGGAAUUAUUGGGCGUAAAGCGCGCGCAGGUGGUUUCUUAAGUCUGAUGUGAAAGCCCACGGCUCAACCGUGGAGGGUCAUUGGAAACUGGGAACUUGAGUGCAGGAGAGAAGAGUGGAAUUCCACGUGUAGCGGUGAAAUGCGUAGAGAUGUGGAGGAACACCAGUGGCGAAGGCGACUCUUUGGCCUGUGAACUGACACUGA